rnacentral:sRNA from 2 species
AUUACAAUAACGCCGAAUCCGUUUGGUACGGGGGACCCACUAAAGAUACAGGGGUGAAUCCGCCAGAAUGGUGGAAGGGUUCUUUCUCUAGUCCUUCUCUUUGACCCUAACCCGACAGCUAACCUCGGAGGCGUAGAAAAAGAGAGGU